rnacentral:lncRNA from 1 species
CUUGUUGAAUGUAUGUUGGACUAAUGGAUGUUUGUGUAUGAUUAUGAUAUUUGUUAAUGUUUUCUUACUAAUCAUGGUCAUUUGGUUUUUGUAUUAGUUUCUUUUAUAAUAAACUCGUCCUUGCCAUUUUUGUACCGUGUGGUUGGUACCUAUGAUGAUCACGAACCUUCAUUCGUGGGAGCAGACAGACACCGGUAAAGUACGUGAAGUGAGAUUCUUUUGUGGAGCCGUCAAGCUGACGUGAUGACGU